UGCCUGUGCUGCUGUGGCCUCCUACUGCCAAGGUUUUGGGAUCGAUACCCACCCCGUCUCUGCGAGCGCUGAGCUCUGCUGCUUGCUUUGCUGUCGCCUCCCACCAGCAAGGUUUUGGGAUCGAUACCUGCCCCGUCUCUGUGAGCCCUGAGCUCUGCUGCCUGAGCUGCUGUGGCCUCCCAUCACACAGGUUUUGGGAUCGAUACCCACCCCGUCUCUGCGAGCGCUGAGCUCUGCUGCCUGCGCUGCUGUGGCCUCCCACCACCAAGGUUUUGGGAUCGAUACCCACCCCAUCUCUGCGAGCGCUGAGCUCUGCUGCCUGAGCUGCUGUGGCCUCCCAUCACACAGGUUUUGGGAUCGAUACCCACCCCGUCUCUGCGAGCGCUGAGCUCUGCUGCCUGCGCUGCUGUGGCCUCCCACCACCAAGGUUUUGGGAUCGAUACCCACCCCAUCUCUGCGAGCGCUGAGCUCUGCUGUCUGCGUUGCUGUCGCCUCCCACCGCCAAGGUUUUGGGAUCGAUACCCACCCCAUCUCUGCGAGCGCUGAGCUCUGCUGCCUGCGCUGCUGUGGCCUCCCACCACCAAGGUUUUGUGAUCGAUACCCACCCUGUCUCCGCGAGCACUGAGCUCUGUUGCCUGUGCUGCUGUCAGCCUCCUCUACAGGUUUCCUUCAUUAUCCAGGAACACACGGUUUAGGUGAAUCCAUGUCCUGAAAUUGCCAGCCAUUUGUGCCUGUGUUUCUAUGCCCUCUACCCCAAACCUCCCACACGGCCCCCAGAAUGGCUCCUACAAUUGGCUGCCUUAUUAAUGACAGCACUUUCACUCUAAGUUAUAAUUCCAUCUAUCAAUGUUUGCCGUACACAUACAAUUUGGGGAAAAUUCAGCAUGAACAGAUUCAUUGUGUAUACAGAAGUCUCAGCACAGGAGCCGUCACCUCACAUCACAGAAGCCGAUACGAAAGCGUCUCGGCACAAAUCUGUAGGAGGGAGAGUGAUAACACAAUAAAGCGACCAACCGUUUUACAUCCGUCAAAAAACGAAAACCAGCUCAGUGCCAGGAAGCAACAAAAGGCUGCAGAGCGACCUAACAAACACUGUCUUUUUCAUUCAACGUGUGUAAUAUUACUGUCAUCACCGAAAUCAGGCUGUGUCAAAGCAGAGAAAACGUUACAGCAAUUAAAAGACAACUGAUCCCUUUAGCAAAUGAACAAUAUGUCAGCCAGGAUCAACAAUAAUUGUAAUAAUAGCUAUAAUAAAUAUUACACAAAUGUACAAAAGUUUGCUCUAUUUGUCUUUUUAAUCUCAUUUACUUUCUCACAAGAGUGUGACACUAAA